ACGGGAGGCAGCAGUGGGGAAUAUUGCACAAUGGGGGAAACCCUGAUGCAGCGACGCCGCGUGAGCGAUGAAGUAUUUCGGUAUGUAAAGCUCUAUCAGCAGGGAAGAUAAUGACGGUACCUGACUAAGAAGCCCCGGCUAACUACGUGCCAGCAGCCGCGGUAAUACGUAGGGGGCAAGCGUUAUCCGGAUUUACUGGGUGUAGAGGGAGCGCAGGCGGUUUUUUAAGUCUGAUGUGAAAGCCCGUGGCUCAACUGCGGGACUGCAUUGGAAACUGGAGAACUAGAGUGUCGGAGGGGCAAGUGGAAUUCCUAGUGUAGCGGUGAAAUGCGUAGAUAUUAGGAGGAACACCAGUGGCGAAGGCGGCUUACUGGACUGUAACUGACGUUGAGGCUCGAAAGCGUGGGGAGCAAACAGGAUUAGAUACCCUGGUA
rnacentral:rRNA from 1 species